rnacentral:rRNA from 1 species
UACGUAGGGACCGAGCGUUGUCCGGAUUCAUUGGGCGUAAAGGGUGCGUAGGCGGCGCGGUAAGUCGGGUGUGAAAUCUCGGAGCUUAACUCCGAAACUGCAUUCGAUACUGCCGUGCUUGAGGACUGGAGAGGAGACUGGAAUUUACGGUGUAGCGGUGAAAUGCGUAGAUAUCGUAAGGAAGACCAGUGGCGAAGGCGGGUCUCUGGACAGUUCCUGACGCUGAGGCACGAAGGUCAGGGGAGCAAACGGG